AUGCAAGUCGAGGGGUAAGGUAGCAAUAUCUGAGACCGGCGCACGGGUGCGUAACGCGUAUGCAAUCUACCUUUUGCAGAGGGAUAGCCCAGAGAAAUUUGGAUUAAUACCUCAUAGUAUAGUACCUUCGCAUGGAGGAACUAUUAAAGUCACAACGGCAAAAGAUGAGCAUGCGUCCCAUUAGUUAGUUGGUAAGGUAACGGCUUACCAAGACAGCGAUGGGUAGGGGUCCUGAGAGGGAGAUCCCCCACACUGGUACUGAGACACGGACCAGACUCCUACGGGAGGCAGCAGUGAGGAAUAUUGGACAAUGGGCGCAAGCCUGAUCCAGCCAUGCCGCGUGCAGGAUGACGGUCCUAUGGAUUGUAAACUGCUUUUGCACAGGAAGAAACACCCCGACGUGUCGGGGCUUGACGGUACUGUGAGAAUAAGGAUCGGCUAACUCCGUGCCAGCAGCCGCGGUAAUACGGAGGAUCCAAGCGUUAUCCGGAAUCAUUGGGUUUAAAGGGUCCGUAGGCGGUUUAGUAAGUCAGUGGUGAAAGCCCAUCGCUCAACGGUGGAACGGCCAUUGAUACUGCUAGACUUGAAUUAUAAGGAAGUAACUAGAAUAUGUAGUGUAGCGGUGAAAUGCUUAGAGAUUACAUGGAAUACCAAUUGCGAAGGCAGGUUACUACUUAUGGAUUGACGCUGAUGGACGAAAGCGUGGGUAGCGGACAGGAUUAGAUACCCUGGUAGUCCACGCCGUAAACGAUGGAUACUAGCUGUUGGGCGCAAGUUCAGUGGCUAAGCGAAAGUGAUAAGUAUCCCACCUGGGGAGUACGUUCGCAAGAAUGAAACUCAAAGGAAUUGACGGGGGCCCGCACAAGCGGUGGAGCAUGUGGUUUAAUUCGAUGAUACGCGAGGAACCUACCAAGGCUUAAAUGUAGAUUGACCCGUUUGGAACAGAACUUUCGCAAG
rnacentral:rRNA from 1 species